GGGAAGUAUAAAUAGGAUUUGAAAGAAAACCACCAGCAGUUCAGCUAAUGCUUGUGUACAAAGAAUGAACCAGAGCCAAGCCAGACACAUUUGUGAAAACUGGGCCAUGUGGAAUUAGACAUAGUGCUGAUAAAACUGCAGAAAUGUCUACCAGCUGCAAGAGAGACUGGGUGGUGUACAAGAUGCUGGAUCCCCACAGGGUUCUGCCGUGCACAAGGUAACUCAGUCUGCAGCUUCCUGGCAAUUUUGGUCAGAUAAAGAAAACCCACAGUAGUCCUGGAGCAAUUCACCUCUCCACUGCAACCUCCUCUCCUAGAUCCAGGUGCAGUCAAGCUCCAACAGCAUGUACCGCAUUAGGCAUGUUGGAGAAGAAAGAGAAAAAGACAGCAAAGAAGUAAUUAUACUUAACUGCACCAAGAGAGUUUUGCAGUCCUGAAUUCAUGAGUGUUUUCAAGUUGAUGGAAGAUAACCAGUUAUGAGACACUUCCUAAAUACAGGGCAGAAAGAGCUGUAUAUGAAAGUUGCAGUGGUUUUGGAACAUGGCAUAUGGAGAGAGGCUGUCAUGCACCUGCCCUGGCUGCUGGGUAAUACAGAUGUGCUGCAGAUGUGUGUGGUUGCACUGAUGUUUGGGUUUUACUUCUACCAUUGACUCUUUUACAAGCAAAAGGUCUUUGGAGAAAGCAAAUACCUGAUUUUGAAACCUGUGGCUGGACACUCCCAGCUGCUGUUCUAAGUCCAGCAGAGUCAGUGGGAGACUGACUGUGGCAAGGCUAUAAUUUCAUCUUGGGAAGGAACGUGGACAUUUCACUUUAUCCAUUUUGCCUUUUCAUUAAAUGAGCCUUGUUUAAAGAUAAGAAUGUGCACAAAUCUCUGCAUCUUCCUCUUAACCCCUUGAUGGGAAACAGGCUUCCAGAUGAAAUAUUAGAACAGCAUCUGAUGUGAAAUUAUUUGUGAUCUGCUGUGUUCCCUGAUCAUUGCUGGAUCUGGUGUGAGCAACUGGAGGCUGCUUCUGGAGGAGCAGGGGCAGCAGAGCAGUUUCAUUGCUCAGCAAGCACUGACACCAUUUAGAGCAAAGGUUCUCUACCUCAAAUCCAACUGCUAUCAUGCCUAAAGCUCAUGCUGAUUUUCAGUGCUUUAACUAGGGAAGAAAUAUGCUGUGGCAUGUAGGUUGUUUUCCCAUUUAUUUACACUCUUUCCAAGUGGAAAAGAGGAGGAAAUAAAGAAAAAAAUACAUAGCAGUGGCACAGCCUCAAAUCUUUUACAGUAAAAUGGAAAAUGUAAUGUCCAACUUCUGCAGUGGAGCCCUAUUCAAAGUACAUGAAAUAUUCUUGAUCUGGACGUCUGGAUCCAGAGCACAGUGAAGGAAACACUAAACUGAACCAAUGAGCCAUGGGAAUUUUAGCCCUUGUAAAUUCACUGCAGUAAUUUCCCAUCUUUAAAGGUGAUGGUGGCUUUGUUUUCCAAUUUGGGUUUGGAGAAAAACAGAACACUGAAUGUCAUUAUCAGAACUGGGUGACACUUGACAAGAGCAUAAAAUGAUUUUAUUCCUGGGUAACUCUGACAAAUUAUUUGGCCUGG